AGAGUUUGAUCCUGGCUCAGGAUGAACGCUGGCGGCGUGCCUAACACAUGCAAGUCGAACGAACUUCUACCGAAAGCUCUUGUCUUAUGAAAUAUGGGCAUAACGGAGAGUAACACGGGUAAAACCUGCCUGAUACAGCGGGAUCACACAUGGAGACAAGUGCUGGAACCGGCUGCUCGCACCGCUUCACAUGGAGAGAUGGGAAGAACUUCUGUGGUAUAAUAUGGCUCCACGGCAGAGACCCUCGUCGGAGAGGCAGGAUGCCGACGAAGCAGCUCUCCAUAGCCAGCAUGAGAGGGCGAAUUGACACAUUGGAACGGAAACUCGGGACUGACACCUACCGCAGACUCCUACGGGAGAUAUUGCAGGGUGAGGGAAACCCUGGUGCGACACCCCCACGCGACUGCACAACUAUUUCGAAAAAUUAUUCUCUAUCUGCAAGCACUAUCAACAGGCCACGAUGACUAUGGACGGUACCUGACUAAGAAGCCCCGGCUAACUACGUGCCAGCAGCCGCGGUAAUACGUAGGGGGGCAAGCGUUAUUCGGUUUUUUUGGGGUUAAAAGGAGGGUUGAGGGGCUGGGCCAAUUUAAAAUGAAAAACCCCGGGCUCCACCCCCGAGAUGCCUUUUAAAAUGGUCAACUUGAGGGCAAGAGGGGGUGAAAGGAAAUUCCUAUAGUAGAGCGGUAAAUGUGUAGAUAUUUGGAGAGAACCACGGUGGGGAAGGCGGGUCUUGUGACUUGAACCGAACUUGAAGGUUGGAAACGUGGGGAACCAACCAGAUUAAAUAUCCCUGGUAAUUCCCCCCGUUAACCAAGAUUUAUUGGGUGUGGGGGCCCACAGCCCUUCGGUGCCGCAGCCAACGCAUUAAGUAAUCCACCUGGGGAGUACGUUCGCAAGAAUGAAACUCAAAGGAAUUGACGGGGACCCGCACAAGCGGUGGAGCAUGUGGUUUAAUCUGAAGCAACGCGAAGAACCUUACCAAGCCUUGACAUCCCGAUGACUGUACAGUAACGGGGACUUUCCUUCGGUACAUCAGAGACAGGUGGUGCAUGGUUGUCGUCAGCUCGUGUCGUGAGAUGUUGGGUUAAGUCCCGCAACGAGCGCAACCCUUAUUUUCAGUAGCCAGCAGGUAAAGCCGGGCACUCUGAAGAGACUGCCGGGGAUAACCGGGAGGAAGGUGGGGAUGACGUCAAAUCAUCAUGCCCCUUAUGACCGGGGCUACACACGUGCUACAAUGGCGGAAACAGAGGGAAGCAACCCCGCGAGGGGGAGCGAACCCCAAAAAUACCGCCCCAUUUAGGAUUGUAGUCUGCAACCCGACUACAUGAAGCCGGAAUCGCUAGUAAUCGCGGAUCAGAAUGUCG
rnacentral:rRNA from 1 species